GAUUCUAAUACUAAUAACUAAAAAUCGUAAUCAGAGGGCUGUUAAUUUUGACAGCGUUUUUUGUGUAUUGAAACGUAUGCAAGUAUGUUUGGGAUUAUUAUAUUGAUAUAUGAUUAUUUUUUAUAUGUAUUUGUUGGUUUUCAACUUUAGGGGGGUGGGGGGCUUAAAUGUUAAUAAAUUAAUAAAUAAUCAUUCACUUUAACUUAAAAAAAAAACAACUUAAUUUUAUUGUAGUAGUUGGCCCAUUAGUGUAAGGAUUUGAAACUGUCUUUAAUAUUAAUUCAGAGAGAGGAACAGUAGACACAAUUAUAGAACAAAUUUCUACAUGUAAAACAGUGUAUUUUUGAUAAUUAUCAAUUUUGAAAAAAAUUAACUUAGUCAACUAGAAUUCUAAAUUGAUUCAAGAUUGUCAUUCAAAUUUCUAUUACUGUUACAGCUUCCUUUGGAGAAUAAGAUGUAAGAUUAAGCAACACUUAAUUUCAUGACCAACACAGCGCUAAGGUGGUACUGUUAGUAAGCCCUACUUAUUGAUCAACACUACUCAUAUUAUCAUAUAGAGGACAGAGUAGGAAAAUGGUUGAGGACACUAUUGCUAAACAUAAAACCAAGCCUCCAGGUGUUGUGUGUAUCAAUCAGCCCACGAGAUAUAUCAAUCUUUUAAUAAAUUAUAAGGUCCCCACUGCUUGAUACUUCACCAAAUACUGUCUACACCAGAAAAUGACUAAAUGUUCUUAACACUUAAUAACUACCACAAGCAUUACUUCUAGGUCACUCUGAAGGGUCCAAUCAUUCAAUUACUGAAAUGAUAAAGUUGAUGAAAUUGCUCAAAAGUUGUCCGGCAUAGUCUUAACUCAGAGACAUAGGAAUGUGGAUAGAUUAUGACAUACCUUGCACAAAUCAACAACCAGGCUUUUAUUGGAUUUGAAUCCCAAAGGAAAGAGAAAGUUUGUUAUCCAAAACAAACAUGGAAAAUAUUAGAGACCAACAAAGCACAAGCAGGCAGAAUGUCAUGGACCCAAUUUUGGGGAAUCUCCCAAAACCAAGUAUAAAAAUAGAGAGGUGUGGUUGUGUCUCUCAGCUCCACAAGGGUCCACAAGAAUGAGGACAACAGUGAUUUUCGUAAUAAUUUUAGAUCAGAUUUUCAAUUUUUAUUUUGGA